UCUGGCUAUUUCACAAAAAAAUCCUCCAACAUUCUAUGAAUCACAACGAAGUCCAUCUCACCCUCUCCCCCUCUCCUGCUCUCGGUUGCCGCGCUCCGUCGCUGUCGUCCUUGGCGCCCUGCUCCUGGCCACUGACGCCGCAUCCUCCCCCCCACCGCCCCCACCCCCACCCCCGUGGCCGCUGCUGGUCGCGAGGCCCGUGCGGGGAAGCAGGCGGAGGCGGAGGUUCACGGGGACUGGGUGGCCGUGGCGGAGGCCGGCGGCGCUUGCGGGAAUGGAGGUUGGAGGAGGACGGCGAGGCGGAGGCGUGCGGGGACCGGGUGGCCGUGGGCCGUGGCGGAGGCCGGCGGCGCCGAGACUGGAGGUUGGUGGAGGACGACAUGGUGCUGGACUAUAGCUCGGCUAGGUGGUCACCGACCAUGCAUCUGCAGCUUCCGCACCCCCUCGUGAUCAUUCCUGCUCCCUAUUACUGGUGCCAUCAACCUCCCAUGGACGAUGCCCUCAUUGUGUUCGAUCAAAUGGGCAUAAAGGGUGCAUAAGCAGUACUGCUGUGUUGAUCAAUGGAGGAGGCAAUUCGCAUAAGGGAAUGAUAUUUCAAUGUUUCUUACCUUGAGCUCAGAAGCAUUUCCUUGGCUGCAAAAAUUAGAGGACAAAGAUUCAAUUGUUCCCAGCUUAGUUAUUGAAAAGUGACCUGCAUCACUACCUUCACUGCCAACCAAACUCUCAUGCAUGGCAGGUGAUUCUCCUGUGCAUAUUGUCUGUUUGGAAGGCACCAACAAGGAGACUUCAGAAUUGCUAUAAGUUUUCUUCAUUCUUUGGUUCUAGCAAUAAUAAAAUGGUUCCUGCUGGUUUCAUGGUUCUAUCUGUUUAUCUGCUUAUCUUUUAUUAUUCUUUAUUCUUAGAAGCAGAUUGCUCGCCCGCAAAUGCUUUCAUUCUUGGUGAUGCCUGACACAGAGCUCUAGCGAUUGCAGUAGCAAAGUACCUCUUGAGAGAUGGAGAUGCAAGUCGGCCCCAUUAUUUAGCGCCGGUGGAAGGUCCUUAUCAUUUUCUUUUAAAUAGGCAGGGUGCAAGAUGGUAUGCAAUUUGUAAAUGUUAGGGGACCAAAUGCAGCUGCCAGGAAUGGCGGAUUUAUAUGUAUUUUGUACUCAUCAGCUUUCUAAAUUGCAUAUAUUGAUGGUCCAAAAUGUAUAUAUUAAUUAAUCUGAUUUGAUUGAUUAUUGUGCUA